CCUGCCCCUAGAGUCAGUUCUGGUGUGGAUGCUGUGUCACAUGUGCAUCACUAGGUGGCAAAAAGAGGCUAUGUUUAUACUCACUGUGUUCUGACUUUUGAAUAUCUUAAGGAUUGGCUUAACAUU